CCACCUCUUCCCAUUCCGAACAGAGAAGUUAAGCCUCGUCACGCCGAUGGUACUGCGUAACAGUGGGAGAGUAGGUAACCGCCGUUU
rnacentral:rRNA from 1 species